UUGCAAUGCACUUUUAAUUCCUUCAUGAUUGCACCCUACUUUUCCAUUUUAGCCCAAAUCAUUUCCUGAAAAUUAUCUUCUUUAUUCAUCAGUGUUAAAUGUUCAGCUCUGAGUAAAAAUAUAUGAGGCACAAAUAUAUGUAUACAUAUAUGUGAUGGAUUUCUUUCAGUUGCCAUCUAUUAAAUCAGUUGAUAAGGCUUUGGUUGGACCAGGGAUGUAAUACACGUGCACACACACAUAUACACACACAUACACACACACACAUUAAUGACUUGUAGGUGUAUAUAUAUAUAUGUAUGUGUGUAAAGGUGGCAAAUGUUAUGUCCUUCAAUGUACUUGUAAGAGUAGUUAUCAUCGGUUAAGGCUUGUUAUGUGACUGGACUUGUGAUCAGCAAAAGCCACUGUUCUUCAAGUGCUGGGUAUUUUAGAGUGAGCUAACUCAGGGUUGUUGCCUUCAAGGAUGAUAAUUCUGUAGGGCUGAAGCCAGUUUUUUAUAGUUGAUUAAAUUAACACCAUUUCUGGACUGGUACUUGUUUUGUCGACCCUCCUGUCAUAUGAAGGAUGAAAAACAUAUAGGCUCUUACCUUGAUCUGGCAAAACAAACUUCAAAAGAGGAAGCUACUCUGCACUCUGACUGGAAAACUUAUUGCACAACAUUGUACACUUCCACUACUCAUAACCUCCUGGCUAAAAUCUACAAUUUUUCAUAACUCACUGCACAUGUCUGAUCAUACUAGCUGCUCAUUGAAGAAAGAAGCAGAUCAAAGCAUCUUUUUUUACAUGACUUUAGUUCCUCCCUUGCUUCCAGUUUCUUGAAAUCUUCUUUCAACGCUGAUUUACUACCCCUUGUGCCACUCCUGAUCUAAAGAUUAUUUCAGUAUCCUCUCAGUUCAUUUCAAAGUCAUCUAUCCACCUAAGUGGACAUCGCUGUCCAAGACUGUGGAGAUGACCGCUCCCUCUCCUUAUUAUUGUCAUCAGAGUAGCUAACAAUGCUAUAGACGUCCAGGAUGUGACAAUGGCAUUCCAUCAGCAAGCACUUCUGUCACCUUUCCUUUUCUCCACUGAGUUGUGCACUUCACAUUGGAAGGAUUUACUCACACCUCAUACCUGAUCUGAACUGAUGCAGGUCCUUUCUUUUCCUCAAAAUGCUGUGAUACUCAUUUUCCGGUGUCUCUAUUUGUACCUGAACUCUGUUCUUUGCAGGACCAACUUCCCAUCCCUAGGUGACAUGUUACACCAGAAGACCACUUCUGUGGGGAUAAUUUUCUCCCUUCUCAGCUAUGGCCUUGACUGUGCAAUGGUGUCUUUCCACAAUCUCAUUUCCACUUGUGCUAUAUGCAGCCCUGAAGAAGCCAAAAACAAAUGAUAAUUUUUUAAUUUAAAGCAUUACAUGACCAAAUUUCGACUUGGGAUCACAGAUUAACAAUCCUUGAUCUCAUAGCAAAUGACUUCUGAAAUGAAAUUCUUACUCAUUGAUCAUACUAAAUCUUUCAGUUACUGAAUAACAUGUAUAACCACUAGUUCUAUAGAUGUUUUGCAAUGUUUCACUUUCACAACCAGAUUACCCUUAUCAAUGUCAUCAGUAUAAUUCCGUCUUCCAACAUCUUGUGAAUUUCAUUGUCGGUCAUUGCUUUCCUCUGCCAAAACAUCGGUACAUUUGGCAUACUGAUUCCCUUGACUUCCGAUGAUGAUUCUCACUUAGUCCCUUUCUUCAGAUCUGGCUUGGCUUGGAGAGGCCCAUCCAUACAUCCAUCUAUCCAUCCAUCAAUCCAUCCUUCCAUCCAAUCAUCCAUCAAUCCAUCCAUCCAUACAUCAAUCCAUCCUUCCAUCCAGUCAUCCAUCCAUCCUUCUGUCCAGUCAUCCAUCCAUCCAUUUCUAGUAUCCAUUAUUCCUGGGAAGGUCAUGGUGGGCAGAGUCCACAGAAAGCUCCACCAUAGGGUCCUAUCAGAAGUAACCAUCAUUACACUUUUUGCUGCUGGAUUCCCGAGCAUGACCAACAGAAUCUACAAAUAUUACCUAAUCAAGAGUAAAAUUCUCGCUAGUAUAGUUUUUAAGGUUGUAGGGAUAUGCAAGCUCAACUAACAAAGAUCGAAAUGAAAAUCAUUGGUAGGGUAACAAUUGUUAAUAUAGUUAAGCCUUUUUAAUUUUGUGUAUAGGAGACUAUAUGCUGUGUGGAGUGAAAAAUCAGACAGUUCUAGCCCUCGAGUAAGGAAUCAUUCUAGGAAGUAGGGCAAGAAUAGGAAAUGUUAGAUUUUUCAUUCUUCACACCAAAUGAAUUGAUCAAAUUCUGCUAUGAAUUCUUGAUUAAUUGUUGCUAAUGUAGACAAUCAACAGUUUGCCUCACAUUUUGGAUUUUGUCUUAUUUUUAAAAUGUUUUUACUGAAUCCACCUGUCCCAUGGUCCAGUUUUCCAUUCAUUUCAAAGAGUUUCACUUCAUGUCAACAAUUCUUGUGGGUUUUUUUUUUGUUAUUUUAUUUUAUUGCAAUGUCUAAGAUGAGUUUUACUCUUUAACUUGUUUCAGCAGUGAACUUUGGCCAUGCUGGGGUACCACUUUGAAAGGUUUAUACAGUGAAAUCCAGCAUAAGACUCCAAUACUUGUUUUAAAGCCUGAUGGUUAAAUUAUCCCUAUUUUACUUUUUUGCCAAACUGUUAAGAUAGAGAGAUGUAAAAAAAAACAACUCUAGUUUUGUAUCAAUACUGUAGACAGUCUCAAGCAGUUUUGAUAUCAAUGACAGGUAAGUCGAUAAUGUAGAAUGUAUGGUACUACAAUUUAGCCAAAUGCCAAUGUUCAGAUUUUUCCUUUGGAAUCAUCAUAUAUUUUUUUACAUAGUGAUCCCAUAGAGUUGGGAUUUCCAGCAUGGAUUUGUGUUAAAAGUGUCACAUUGAUUUUUCUUUACCUGGAUACAUACUAAACAUUCUGCAACUGGAUAAUCUCUGAGGGGAAUUUUUAUUUUUGUAUUUAUGUCAUAUGUUUUAUGUGUUUUUUUUUUGUACAUGAAAUUCAAAUCAUUUCUAUUUAUUACAGUUUUAUAAGAACAAUAAAUAGUACAUUUCAACUCAA